UUGUGACGCUGUUCGCUGUCAGAUAAUUUACCAUACGCCAGAUGAUCGGACACGGAAUGGAUACAUACCAAAGGUGGAUACAUACAAAAGUUACUCUCUCCUCCGCAGAGGGUUCUGUUGGCUAUGAUUACGAUUACUAUUGAGAUACAUUUCACCACACUUUACUUUGCAGAUCUUGGAACACGAGCGGAGCCGCUGGGCGAAGGAGCGCCUGCUGGGUUUUGCCUAUGAUUUUGGCGUAUCUGUUGCAAUGGUGUUGCCAUCAGUCCUGGCCAGUGUGCUUAUGAGAGACAUUCAUGUCCACGAAAAUAUUUAAAAUGGCAGACAUUCAGUGGGUAAAAAUGGGUAAAUAACUCUUAGUCUCUUAUAACCGUACUGGCUAAGAACAUGGUGACAGCAAUUUGAUGAAUAAUAAAUUAUGGCAUGGUAGCGGUUUAUACCGUAAGCUUUUUUGGCCAAGUCAACCUUCUGUUUCUCUCUAUAUUCUGUGACGCAAUGAUUUGCAAUGGUUUGUCAAAAUAUAAAGGGCUCACACAGGCCCCACAGUAUUAAAUUGGUUUUAAACAUAUCUCAAUGCACUCAUGGUAUUCACCCCCCUGAGCAUCAACCAUUUUGAAUAUUUUCAGGGGGGUGAACAAGAAGUCGAACUACUGUAUGUGUUUCCUUCUUCCUUUGACUUUUGGACGAUGUGAUUUUACAAUGCGAACCCAUGGCAACAUAUAAAUAUGGCGGACGCCGAGCAUGGAUUUCACGUCGAUGAACUGUCAAAAAUUCGCGUCCUUGAACCAGAAGUUUACCAACAAACACAAGAAUUAAAAGAAGAAUGUAAAGACUUCGUUGAUA